CUUACUAAAACGAUGGGAGAAAAAAAAAACAAAUAAUGCAAAUGGUAUUAUACGAAAACUAAUUCUUUCAAACUCAUUGAUCGAGUUUUCUGUCUGCUCUGAAAUUCUUUCUCAUUGUUUUCCCUCUUCACACAAACCCUAGACCCUUGAUUUCCUGUUUGGUUCGAUUGUUUGAUUUUUGUUUCAAUGUGUGUUUCAUCAGAUUUGAUUUGUGUACUGAGAAACAAUGGGUAUUUCAUCAGAUUUUUGUUUCUAGGGUGAAGCCAGCUCUCAAAUUUCCCGAAGUCUUCAAUUUCGUAGGUUCUCCACUUUACUAUCAAUUAAAGCUUCAUUGAUCUUGGGUUUUCUGGAUAAUUUCUAUUUAAUCGUUGCAGAAGAAAUAUCAUAUGGUUCAAUCAUUCAAAGGGAAUCAAAUUUUUUUAGGUUUCUUUACAAAAGAAUUAUAUUUUCCCGUCUAAAUCUUCGUUACUUUGGCUUCCCAAUCUCGAUUUCAGAAUUAUAAAAGAUUGGGUAUUCAGUUGAAGAUGUUACACCUGAUGAAAUUUAGGAGGCAGAGUUUAAUCACAAAGACGAUGCAGAGGAAAGGAAGAAGAAGAAUUAUGGAGAAUUAUGGAAGCUCAAUGCAAAGUUUUUCUGGACUCACAGGGGUUCUAUGGAGAACACAAUCUUUGACCCGCAAACCUGCUGGAAUGUUAUACAGUACUGGAAUGUUUCUAUGGAGAACAACUGCAAUAUCUAGGAAGAAAAGUUGAGCAUCUUAGGAGCACUGCAUUAGCUGAUACAUUAUCCAGAUGAAUGAUCUCUAAUUAUAAAUUUAUGACGGAUAAUGGAGCGAGUAGACACAGCUUAUUAGCGUCUUCAUUCCAGAAUGAGCAUUAUAUUGCGUAAGCUCAGGAAUACGGUUCUUCACAAAAUCUUGGAGCUCUUUUGACAUUAUUUGGUCCUUCGAAUUUUUUUGCAAUUAGUUCUGGACCACGGUCAGAUUAAGGAAAUUUCCGGUGACUCUUUGAUGGAACACAAUCUAUUUACCGCUGCAAAGUUAGACGAUCAACGAAGACAAGCGUCAAUGCAUGCCUAGACUUUAUAGACGAAUCUCAAUUAUAUACGACUGGCUGUGUAUAUCGCAACCAACUUAUCUACUAUUCCACCACUUCUGUAUUUGGACAUGCAUGAAUAUAGAUCCAAUUAAUCACAGAUGCGGGUAGCAGUUUCCUCCACCUCCUUGAAGAAGUACCAAGCUUAGAGAAGGUGCAGCUGAGUCGGUGGAUUCUGGGCUGGGAACCACAUCUUGAUGAUUUAACGACUCACGAAUCUCAACUAGAUGAUAUGAAGGCAUAUGAGAUACUUGGUCGUGCAGCUUCUGCUUUUGUAUAACUGAGCUUUGGAUUCGUCUGCAUUAUCACGACUAAUGGGUCUUACAUACCUAAUGUAUGUAUCCUAUGUUGUCUGUUUGAGGAAGAUACCAUCCAACUCUUCAUACAAUGCUCCUUUGCUCGCUCCAUAUGGUCUUACUGGGAGGUAAUUCUUUAUUCUGUCGUAGGUUUACUCUCAACUUGGAAUACUGCAGGUUUGUCCACUUCGCCUGUAUUGUGGUCUCUCAUGUUGUCAAACAUGAAUGAGACAGACAUUAGUCUAUAGACUCUACGCAACAUGCAUAAUUAUCUGGCGAGGCUUGACAAAGGGACUACUGAAAGCAAUCCAUUUUGUUAACUAAAUAGAUUUUUUUUUUUUGUACAUCCUAGAUCGAGUCUGUGUUUGUCUUCGUGCAUCUGGAAUAUUGCACAUAUUUAGUUGUAUCCCAACAAAUAUGUCUUCAGUUUCAUAUAUAUAGUUGAGUUAUUUGGAUCCUGUCAUUUAUGUGCACGAGUAUGAAUCUGUGGCGCAGUGGUAGCGCGUCUAACUCUAUGUCAAAAGGUUGCGUGUUCGAAUCACAUCAGAUUCACUGUCUGGCUUUAACUGAGUGUUCGAAUCACGUCAGGUUCCCUGUCUGGCUUUAACUGAAGUUAGAUACUGGAAUCUGGAGUUGGGACAGAUUUGAACAAUUUGGUUAUAUUGAGAUGUACUUAAUAUUCUCCAAAUAUACAAUAAAGCUGAAAUAUAACUGGAAGAGGAACCAAGACCUGAUCAACCACCCUCAUGGUUUCUUCACCCAUGGUAGCAAAUUUUACUAUCAUGGUUACAUAUAGCAGUGAGGAUGGUGGAGUACAACUUUGAUGGUGAUGCUGGAAAGUUGUAUACUAUUGUUUAUAGCUAAACUCCAAAGACAGGGAGAGUGAUAAUGAUAAAAUGAAUGAGACUUUUGAGAGAAAAGAUGAACAUGCUGAUUAAAAUGCAAUUUAUGAGAAAGAAGAAAAAAAAGACUGUAUUCAUUCUAGGCUCUAGCAAUUACGAAGUUUGACUUUUGUUUCCUGUUCUUGAUAGGAAUGUGUCUACUAUAUUUUUGUGAUGCAAUACUAUUGUAGCCACCCCUAUUUUAUGCAAGACACAUGCAUAUGAUAUUUUGUUUCCUCCCAA